CAGUCGCCGCGGUAAUACGUAGGUGGCAAGCGUUGUCCGGAAUUAUUGGGCGUAAAGGGCUCGCAGGCGGUUGCUUAAGUCUGAUGUGAAAGCCCCCGGCUCAACCGGGGAGGGUCAUUGGAAACUGGGAAACUUGAGUGCAGAAGAGGAGAGUGGAAUUCCACGUGUAGCGGGAAAUGCGUAGAGAUGUGGAGGAACACCAGUGGCGAAGGCGACUCUCUGGUCUGUAACUGACGCUGAGGAGCGAAAGCGUGGGGAGCGAACAGGAUUAGAUACCCCCGUAGUCCCUGUCUCUUAUACA
rnacentral:rRNA from 1 species